ACGAACGCUGGCGGCUUGCUUAACACAUGCAAGUCGCACGGAAAGGCCCUGCUUUUGUGGGGUGCUCGCGUGGCGAACGGGUGAGUAACACGUGAGUAACCUGCCCUUGACUUUGGGAUAACCUCAGGAAACUGGGGCUAAUACCGGAUAGGAGCUCCUGCUGCAUGGUGGGGGUUGGAAAGUUUCGGCGGUUGGGGAUGGACUCGCGGCUUAUCAGCUUGUUGGUGGGGUAGUGGCUUACCAAGGCUUUGACGGGUAGCCGGCCUGAGAGGGUGACCGGCCACAUUGGGACUGAGAUACGGCCCUGACUCCUACUGGAGGCAGCAGUGGGGAAUAUUGCACAAUGGGCGGAAGCCUGAUGCAGCAACGCCGCGUGCGGGAUGACGGCCUUCGGGUUGUAAACCGCUUUCUCCUGUGACGAAGCGUGAGUGACGGUAAUGGGUAAAGAAGCACCGGCUAACUACGUG
rnacentral:rRNA from 1 species